GGCGGGCAAGGCCCCCGAUCACGUGAUCCCGCCCCCCCCUCCCCCACCAACUAAGGGCGGAAGAGGCCGGCGACACCUCUGCACGAAGCGAGUGGGCGGCCGCUCGUGCCCGGCUAAAAGAUGGCUGCUGCCGCCGGGCAGCCACCGCCUGGGAGGUUACUGUAAGGCCCGCAACUCCCGCCAGCUCCCGCGAACCGCUGCCGCCUCCUUACCAUGAAGCCAGUGAGUCGUCGCACGCUGGACUGGAUUUAUUCUGUGUUGCUGCUUGCCAUCGUUUUAAUCAACUGGGGCUGCAUCAUCUAUGCUUCAAUGGUGUCUGCAAGACGACAGCUAAGGAAGAAAUACACAGACAAAAUCUUUGGGACGAAUGAAAAUUUGUAACUCCUCUGGAUUUAAUUCUUUGAAAAUACAGUUCUUUCCCUCAUGCUUAUGUAGAUUUAAAAAUAAAAUUCAUAAUGCAAAGUUCCCAAGUUUA